UUAUUUUGAUUGCAACUCCACAGAACAAAUCUUUAAUGAACCAGCUUGUGGGGAGAGCCAUUAGCAGCCGCCUGCCUCCAGGGAGUGGGGGAGGCGCCUGGCCUGGGUCCCAGCCUGGACUUCUACUCAGCGAGGAAGCGGUGGCCAGCAGGCUCCAAAUAUUUGAAAAACAGACAGACACAUUGUCCUCAUCUCCAGACAGAGGUCACCUUGAAGAAUCUGCAGAGGAGGUCCGUGGGAGCUGGCAGACCUCAGGGGAGAGGAGCGCCCUGACAGCAGCCCUUGGGGCCUUCACUCCUGGAGGAGGAGGCAGUACCACGACGUGCCCCAUGUUUCUUCCCUCAGCGCCCUCAGCCUCAUAGAUGCCGGGGUAGAGCAGUUCACCUGAGCUACACAUUUUCAACCCCAGAGGAUUCAGCAAGGAACUUCCCCUGAUUCUUCUUAAUUACCAGCAGUGAAGACAUUCAAGACGCCGGAGAGCAGAGGUCAAACCCCACCUGUUUUCCUUGCACUUCAUUUUCU
rnacentral:lncRNA from 1 species